rnacentral:lncRNA from 1 species
GGCAGGAGAAUAGCUUGAACCCAGGAGGUGGAAGUUGCAGUGAGCGAGAUUGUGCCAUUGUACCCCAGCCUGGGCGACACAGCAAAAACUCCAUCUCAAAAAAAAAAAAAAAAAGUUUCUUUUAAGGAAAUAGCUGGACUGGUAAAUGAUAGUUUAUUAUUUUUGUUAUAUUUACUGUCCUAAUUUGGCAAAACUAAAUGUUUGCAAUUCUUCAAUGUUCCUCCAUUUUUUUCUGAAGUUUCACCUCCCAGGAAAAGUCUCCAAACUGGAAACUCUCAUUCUCAGGAUAGGUGAGCGGUGACUUUUUGCUUCUUUUUGUUUAAGGGGGAAUGAAUAGAAUCUCACGUAAAUACCAAAUACUGCAGCUCUGAGUCUUCAAGUACAAACAUAAAACCAAGGUGUAUCAAAAUGGGGGAUUCAAAGUGGCAACUGGUAAGGGAGUGGUCUUUCUCCCCUACCUGUCAGGAGGGAGCUGGGACCUCUUGGUGGUACUUUGAGAAUAAGACAGUGUCUCUGAGUAAUAUUUGCAUGUCUCAUAAAUCCACUGAAACUUGGAAUUCCACGGAUGGCAAUCUUAGGUUGUCUGGGAGAGAACUCUGCCUCUCAGACGAUGUCAAUUUAUUUAGCCUAGUCUGCGAAUGGGCAAGGGAUGGGAGUGGGAUGGCCCAGCUGACCGCCUUCUGGUUCCCAGGAAGCCCUGGCUCCAGUGGAGAGAUUCAGAGGACAGGAGGAUUCUUUCCUUCCAGGGAAACCCCAGCCAAGGGAUUUUCCAUGGGCGAAGCCUGCUUUUGAUGCCCUUCUAAGGUGCAUUCUGACAGUGUGUGUGCCCAGGUCCCAGCAGAAGAUUUGGGACCAUCUGAAACUUGCUGCUCCCUAUAUCCCAAACACCUUGGUAGGUACACACGGUGCCUGGAGCCUGGGUGCAGCACACAGAGCUCGGGCCUGGGAGCUCACUCUCCACCAGGAGAAGGUAUUUGGUGCAACCCCAGUGCAGGGGCCUCGGGCACAGGCUGGCACCUUCUGGUGAGCUGUUCUUGCUUCAUCAGACCAGUUCCACCUCCACCCAGUACCCCAGGCCCUUGAGGUUCUGACCACAGGGCCAUUAUUGAACUGUUUCUCCUGCCUUUCCAGCAGGGACAGGUGCAGAGGACUUCAAGAAACAUUGAUUGCAAGGGUCUGGCGGGAGUGACAUUGGUGCUGCCACUCCAGAUAGCUGUUUAGCAAGAGGUGUCAGUCACUUCAAAAAUGUUCACUCCCUAUGACCUGGCACUACCACGCAUGCAAAUCCUUUUAAGAAAUCUCCCGGCCGGGUGCAAUGGCUCAUGCCUGUAAUUCCAGCACUUUGGGAGGCCGAGGCAGGCGGAUCACUUGAGGUCAGGAGUUCAAGACCUGGCCAACAUGGUGAAAUCCCGUCUCUACUAAAAAUUCAAAAAUUAGCGGGGCAUGGCGGUAGAUGCCUGUAGUCCCAGGUACUUGGGAGGUUGAGGCAGGAGAAUGGCUUGAGCCAGGGAGAUGAAGGUUGCAGUGAGCUGAGAUCGCGUCACUCAACUCCAGCCUGGGCGACAGAGCAACACUCUGUCUCAAAAAAAAAAAAAAAAAAAAAAAA